GGACUACCGGGGUAUCUAAUCCCGUUUGCUCCCCUGGCUUUCGUGCAUGAGCGUUAGGAACUGUCCAGAGACCCGCCUUCGCCACCGGUGUUCUAGUCGAUCUCUACGCAUUUCACCGCUACACCGACUAUUCCAGUCUCCUCUCCAGCCCUCAAGCCCGCCAGUUUCGAAUGACCUAUCACAGUUAGGCUGUGAGAUUUCACAUCCGACUUAACGAGCCGCCUGCGCACCCUUUACGCCCAAUGAAUCCGAACAACGCUUGCAGUCUCUGUAUUACCGCGGCGGCUGGCAC
rnacentral:rRNA from 2 species